GUAGGUGAACCUGCGGAAGGAUCAUUACUGAGUUCAUGCCCUAACGGGUAGAUCUCCCACCCUUGAAUAUAUAAACCUUUGUUGCUUUGGCGGGCCGCUUCGGCUACCGGCUUCGGCUGGUGAGUGCCCGCCAGGGGCUCCAAAACCCUGAAUAUUAGUGUCGUCUGAGUACUAUAUAAUAGUUAAAACUUUCAACAACGGAUCUCUUGGUUCUG
rnacentral:misc_RNA from 1 species